AGAAGCAGAUAUACAUUGAGAUUUAUUUUCUUUCCCUUGCUGUAAUCUACCUGAACCAAUCCAAAAUAGAAAGAAACAUGUAGACGUGCAAGUAAUACACUAAUUGGGCCAGAUAUAUGAAUUAGCACAGCACCACAGAAGCCAAUGGAAAAAAAGCAUUUUAGAGCGGCUCAGGAUCUUGUCUAUUAUUUCUCAUGGGGAAGGGAGGGGUUUAAAACUAGAAAUUAUAAAGCAAAAAGCAAAACCAGGCAAGCAACAAAAUGUGGCAGAACAGGUCUGCAGUGCAAAAUCCCUCCAGCAAGAUCUGCAAUUUGAAGUAUUUAUUUUUUUUCCUGUGUUCCCAAUCAGUGGAAAGUGCAAGAAUCAGAGUGCAGAGUGCUCCAAGCAAGGAAAAGUAAUGAGACUUAAAGCAAUUUACCUGCUGAAAUUGAGAAGACAUUGUCAGCGUACGCAGUCUGAGAUAAAGCAAAGCAGAAGAGAAGCGGCAGAGAAAAGUACUCAUUAAGAGAGAUGAUGACAUGUGUCCCUGGGCACUGACACCACUGAAGAGCAAAGUAAUGUAUUUCCACAAUUCCGGAUAAACGGUCUUGGCUGUUACUUCCAAGACACUGCAAAUAUUGACAAAAUCUUUGUAAAUGUAAUGUCUAGAUAGGAACAAUCACAUCUGCCUGAUAUAUUUUUAUCCUUAAAGGACAUGCUUAAUAUAACCAUAACCCUUUUUAAAAUCUCCAGUACUGCAACAUCCUGCAGCACUUUGGAUAAUAGAAUUUCUUUUUGAACUUAAUCAACUUUAUUCCACUGCUUGUUACUUUUUAGUAGUUGGCUUUUUUUGGUGAAGAUAGUUGUUUGGCCUCUUUCUUCUUUGACCAAGAUGACCAUGGAUUAAGGAUGUGCCUUUAUUUCUCUUGGCAUUCUGCAUCUCAGAGGGAAAGGAAUAGCUCUUGGAAAGUUCAUCAUGACAAGCUCUAAUCACAUAAGAGACCUCUUCUUCAUGAUGUAGCAGUAGUUCAUCAGUUCGGAUUUUUUUGGAGAGUUCUCAGGGCAGCAACCCAGGCCAUGUCAAAGUGUUUUGUUUCCUCUAAUUUUAAGGUAUUGGCCUUACUGGCUGAGACUGCUGGCAAGGCUGCUAAUGGUUUCAUCAGGAGAAGAGCAAAGUCCGUUGGGAAUAAAAAGGACAACAGCUGUGGGAUUAUUGCUUUUGACUUAGUCAGGUGACAGCACAUCAAACUGGCACUUGCCGUGCUAACUGGCAUCCAUGCUGGAUGGCAAGGACAUACACCUGGUUACACAGCUUGUUUCUGACCUCCGUGGCAUUGGUGCAUGUGAUAAGAGAGAAUCCUGAGGAGAGGAAGUGUCAUGUAGCAGAGUGAGUCUGGCAUGAGAGACUUGACAAACGUGUGCUUUCCAGGCCCUGAACUAUCUGCCAUCUGUGAACUUGCUCAGUCAGGCAGUGCAUUCCUCCAGCUACUCCCAUGGGCUCACAAAGCUGAUGCAAGGCUUCUGGUCCCUUCAGAGAGCUCUGCACCAGGUAGUUAAGGCCAGUUCUGUGAGAUGAGAGAUAUGUCCUUGUCUCUAGCCUCCAAACAGCAAUCAAUAACAAAGGAUUUUUUUCUUUCUUGUGUGUUCUCUGCUGCUACUGGUGUAGUGAAAACCUACACUAAUACAACUUCAUGAUGCAACCACUGGGAAAGAUCCCAUAAACAUUUGGGAAUAAAAAUACUUAAAAUAUUUUGGGAAAUAAUCUUAAAAAAUCUUAAAAUUUUAGAUGAAAUUAUGCAUUUGCUAGAAAGUGAAGUAAUAUAUACUGCAUAGCUCUUACUCUUGUCUCACCUAGAAUUGCUUCUCAGAAUUCAGGAGUGAAUGGAAAUAUAAAUAUACGAUACAUAUAUAUAAACCAUAGAAUGGAAAUACAAUGGCUUUGGUAGUAAUUCUAUUUUAGAUCACAUUAGCUGAAGAAAGAAACACAGCAAAGUUUUCACAAUGCAGUUUCUGAGUCUUAUAAGAUACCCCCAUGGCCUAAGUGAGAACACGAGGUUUUGAGAACUUCACUUAAAAAAAUAUUUUCCAUGGUGAAAACCCCAGAACGCCAAAUCUCACCUGCAGGUUAGUGUUCAAAGAUAAAGACCCCACAGUUUUAUCAUGGGGUAUCAACUGCAGUUUAUAAAGAAAUCCCAAUUUGGGUAGAUGCCAUAGCAAUUAAAAAUGUCAAAAGCCAACAAAAACACACGAAGGCACAGUUUACCUGCUCAAGUAGCAGGUGCUUGACCUUUUCAGUCCAGACUUGAGCACUUUGAAGUGGGUGAAAGAAUCUGCUGAUGACCCUAACAUGUAAAUAGAAUAUAUCAACCUUUCUUUACACAGGAAUUAAUGAAUACUUGUUAAAAAGAGGGCUUCUUGCCAGCCCUAUCCCCUUUCGGUUGGCAGGUACUAUACCAACAAGCGAAGGUAAAAUGAAUAUAGUUAAAAUAUCAUCGAAUUCUUGUAUGAACAAGUUCUAGUUAGAAGGACAAAAAUAAUAAUAAUAGAAUAGUUUGGGUCAUCUAGUCCAACCCCCUGCAAUAAGCUGGGACAUUUCAAUGAGACCGGGUUGCUCAGAGUCCCGUUCAACCUGAUCUUGAAUGUUUCCAGGGAUCGAGUAUCCACCACUUCUCUGGGCAAACUGUUCCAGUGUCUCACCAUCCUCAUUGUAAAAUUUUUUUUCCUUGUAUCUAGUCUAAAUCAAUCCUCUUUUAGUUUAAAACCAUUGCCCCUUGUUCUAUCAAAAUGGUCAAUAUAUAAUUGAGACUUUCUAGUCCAAAAGUCUGAAAGCUCUUUUGCUGAGUGGGGCAACGUUAAUGCAAUAUUACAAUAACAGCUCAUGUCUGCAAAGUAGUACAGAAGAAUUCUGUUCAUUAAAUUACUAUGGAAGAUGGAAAAGAGAUUAUUUGUAAUUAUGGUUUCCUUGUUAGAUAGUUAUUUAGCAAUAAUUGCUUUUCACAAUAAAAAUACCUGUUCAAUUUUGCACACCUGAAUCAGUUACACCCAGAAUUUGGAUUUAAUACUAUGACAAUACAGCUAAAGUUACCUUGGAAGAUGGUAUUAUGUGAAGUACAAGGGUAGCUGCUGAAGUAAAAAAGAUAAUAAGUGCAGAAAAAGAAUGAAUGGCUUCAUAAUUUCCUUGAUGGUGUAUUUAAAUUUAAUUCAAAAGCCCACAUAGGAACAGAUGCAGUAACUGUGCAAUGAAGUAAAUUCAACCACAUAAUGAAGUUCUGUGUUACUCCACAGCUCCACUCAUGCCAGUCACCCAGCUGGCUACCAGGACACAGGCAGGUGGCCAGUCAAAGGCAAGCCAGGACUAGUCAGCCUUCAGAAAGCCACCCACUGGAUGACCAGGGUGAAGGAGGACAUUGAAGGCAGGACACUGAUGCCUUGCAACACCUUUUCACAAAUUAGCCCCUUAAUGGAUUUUAUGCAUUGCACAACAAGUAGUGGCCUUCUGGCCUCCUCUUUUCUCUAUACUCUGCGUCUGCAGAAACACAAAACUGGCUGGGGAAGCCAGUGAUUUUACUCCCAUGAGUAAUCUGCAUGCAUAGAUUUCUUUUUCUAUUGAUGAGUACAGGACAAAAGAGUGAAGGACACGAAUAAAUGUUAUGGGAUAAUUCAAAAUGACUUCCACCAAAGCUAUCAGAACCCCACUGUGGCCUUAUAACGUAGGAGGCCACAACGAAGUAGAACAAUUUAAAACCAAUAAUUCAGCAGCUGAACUUUAUACCAGUACUCUUCUUAGCCUUUCCCAUUUCAUCUCUCUAUUAGACCUCGCCUUUCAAACCGCAGGUUAUUUAGCAUUUGCUGAGGGGUUGUAUGAAGCUUUGUACAAUGGCAGGGCUCCAUCCACAGCUGAAAUAUGUCCAGAUAUGUAACGUGGGAGACAUGCAGAAAGCCUGUGCUUCCUUUCAAUGCACGCACGUGCUGUAAAAAUCUAUACACACAAGAAUCCCAUGGCCUUGCUAAAUGCGUUGAUCAAAUGUGCAGAAAGUUUGAUGGCUCCUCAAGAUGCUCAGGUACUCCAUGGUUAUUUGGUGCAUAUAGAGUACACCAAACACGCUCUCAUUGUGCUGGACCUCCAUGCAGAUCAGAUGAUGCUUCUUGAAUGAGAUGCACUCAUCAUACAUGCUCAUGCAUUUGCACAGACAAGAGAUAUGUCCAGGAUUGCCAGGUUUGGGAAAUCCUGGACGAACAUGCAAAAUAUCAAAAUUAUUCACAGAAAAAUGUCCCAUAGGAAAAAGAUGAUCAUAGAAAUCCUGUGGACAAUGGCCUUGACAACUGGAGUCCUGGCCAACUGAAAUCUGCAGUUAUUAGUGUGGGCGUAGAUAAAUAGUCUUCAACAUCCUACAGUGGUGAAUCACAAACAAGUUACAGCUAUAACCCAGUCUGUUCUUGGUAUUUACAUCUAGGCUAGGUAGAAGGAGUGUUAUUUUUUUAAUCUUAUUUUUACUUGGAUUGUCUAUGGCUGUUAUUUACUUCUAUUAGCAAAGGUCUGCAGAAUUCCCUGCUUGCACUGGUAUCACUGCAGUGCUGCUGGAGUUGCAGAACAGAGGAGUAUCUGGCAGUAAUUGGCUUUCACUAAUUUAAGUGAUUUAUCAUCUAGCUUGCCAAAGAGUCAAAUCAACUAGACACCACAAUCUUCUUUUUUAUCUGUCAAUAUUUUUGAAGGAAAAAAAAUUGACAUUACUGUUUUAACGCUGACACUGUUCUCAGGACUCCUCAUUCCAGAAAGCUGCAUACUUUCAUACUGCACUGCAGCCCAUUACACCAGUAAGAUGCAAACAAGCAUGGACCCAAACAUCAGUGCACAAGCACAUAGGAGAAUGUCCCUUAUAAAAGGCACAGCACUCUCCUGUAGAGGAUCUCUAUCAGAUGAGUGGUCAGAGCACCACUAAUUCAGGAAAAGACUGAUUAGUGUAACCUCAGGUGUGCAAGUGAAAUUAAUGAAGCAGCUCCUGAAAUGAAGUAUGUGCAUAGUUGCCUUGCCAAAUCAGGGCCUGAAAAAGCUUCAUAUACCUUGUCUUCAAAAUAGUAUGAUGCCUCAUUUUCCCAUCCCUGUUUACCUCUCUUCUCCUGGAUACCUCUAGGCACUAAAUAUUUCGGGAUCCUCUGCCUUGCAGAAUGCAAAGCCAGGAGCAGAGCUGCUGAAUCCACUUGGGGAGCAGUAGUAGAUAAACACUCAUGGGCUUAUCCAAAGGCCUGACAAAAGAAUCAACAUUAAAAAGCUGGAGAUAGGCAAAGAAAUAGAUCACAGAAGAACAGAAGAAAGUAGCAAUAUGUUGCCAAAUUUGCUUGCUGGUUUUAUUUCUUUUUUUUAAGCAAGUGGACAGCCACAAGUGCUGACCAUGACACUACAGCAAGCAGAACUCAGUGGGACUUCUCUGGCACUGUAGCUGUUGGACAAUCCACAUCCACCUUUUAAAACUGCCCUGUUUUUGUAAGCUGAUGACAAAUUUCCUGCUGAUUUCAAGACAUGCUGUUUCAGGCUAGAGGUGGAGAGGCUUUGUCUUUUUACAGUGCUUCAAGUUUGGAAGGCCAGGGCACACUGUUACUGUGGCAGCUGUAGAAAAUGGCUGGGCACUGCACAUUGCCCGGUAAUUCUGGGAUGCCAGGGUUGUCAUCUUCCAAACACAGGAUAAUUGAACCUAAUCAAACCAGACAAGUGCAUUUUCCCAGCACCCUUUGCAGAAUCAGGGAACUGUAAUUAAGGCUGCAUUAGCAUUUCCAUUAUAAAGUCCUACUUUUGAAGUUUCAAUCAUUUGUAUUUAAGACAUCCUUAUCAAAUGGCAAUUUGGCAUGAUUUGGCACACAGGGAUGAAAACUUUGAGAAAAAACAGAUUUUACACUAAAACCAGUAAUAAGAUCUCACUGAUUUCAACUAAGUAGAACGAGGUCCAGCAUUAGCUGCUUAGGUAUGGUAACUUUAAAUCUCUGGUAGGGCUGAAAUAUUAAUUUUACCUAACAUAAUUUUUACUUAUUUUCUGAGCACCUGAAUGAUAUCCCUGUUUUUGCAGAGCAGGCACAAAGUUCAUGGCCUGGCUAAGGAGGCUUUCAUACCUAAAUCCCAGCUGCCAUGUCUCCUUACUCUAAGAAGAAUGCAUUGCUUUGGCUGGAACCUGAGGUGUGCCUGCAAGUCCACCAGUACUGGUAUCAGCACCUCCCACCACCAAGGCUUAUAAAAUGCCAUACAUGCAUAUGAUCUUAAUGAUCAUGCAAAGGAGACAGAAAACAAGUUUUUCAAACACUUGAGCAAGUGUAAUUUUUUUUUUUAAUAUAUAUUUUUAAUAUGCUGAUUUCAUUAAAGAGGGACUUGUAUUCAGACAUUGUGAAGCUCUAGCUUGGAUGACUGCCUGAGUGUAUGUCGACGCUUUUUAUUCAUUUUCAAGUAUAAAACAAGAAUUUAUCCAUUUGCUUAUCCAACGCAAAUUAUCUCCCCUGUGAUCAGUUCCAGCCUUAAUUCUUACAGACUCUUUACAUCAUCAUAAUAGAUUGUGUUUAAUCACUGCAACAUAUCAAAAUCCAUUUGAGAGACAAAACAAAGAAUUAAAACAAAUCAGUGACAAGAUCCAACAUCGUUCCACAUUCCUUGCAGAGUACUCUAGAGAACGCAGCAACUCUGCAUCUCAGCAGCCUUACAUUUGUGAGUUAUAUCCACUCUAGGAUUUUAUCCUUUUGCACUUUUUUGCCCUUCCUAAGGAUAUUACCUUUCUUGACUCAAGCAUUCAUAGUGCCACGUGGCUGUUCCCAAUUCCCACACACGUAACAGGCAGUGGUGCCUCUGGUCAGACCAUGGUACUCUUGCUCAUGUCAGAUAUUAGCUUCCUGGAUUAGUGUGCAGAGAUGUUCCUGCCUAACAGUAACCCAUGGCCUCGUGGCAGUCCCAGACUGAAGUGCAAAAACCAACAAGUCAAGCUUUGCAACAAACUUAUAUGGAGGCCAUGAUCCCCUGCCAGCACAGUCCUCUUCUUCCUUGGUCAUCCAAGUGCCUUCCACUAGUUAACUAACACUUAUUGUCAAUGGAAUAACAGAAAACAAGGCAAUCAAAACCCAAAUCAGAGACAGAAUUUUCCCUUUUGCAAAUGUAACAACGAAGAGUCUCCCAGUGCAUUUAAGAACGGUGUAUAUAUAAGUGCUUAGUACUCCUGAAUAGCAGUUGCUGUAGACCAUGACAGAGGCAUAGAGAAAGAAUUACUUCACUUUUAAAGUCUGAGCUCUGAGUCUGAUUGUCAGAUGCAAAACCAGAUGAAAACACAGUAGACAGAACCACAGGUAGGCCAAUUAUCUGCUUUAAAUUAAUGUCUCAGUAAAUUACACUGUGAUGCCUCUGCAUCACAGUCAGUGUAAGACGGACACUGGAUUUUUAUACAGUGAGAAAAUUAUAUGAAGAACCUUCAUUGCAUAAUUAGCCAGCUGUAGCAUGAACACUGGUGGUUGCUUUGUGAUGCCAGCAAAAACAAACAUUAUGAUUCAGUCUAACACUUUUCUGGCGUUGUUGCUCUGGUGAGGGAUUUUUUUAAAUUUUGUUUUGGUUUGAGACUUUUUUGGUGGUUUUUUGUUGUUGUUUUGAUGGUGGUGGUAAUGUUUUUUGUUUAAAUACUUCUAGUUAUAAAGACUUAUAAUCUAUUAAUCCUGGAAAUCUCACUAAUAAAUACAGCCAGCUUUUCAACCUACAGGGAUGAUGGUGUCUGUGUGAAGAGCAAAGCUUCAAACAAAAAUCUAAGAUGUUAUUUUCCAACAAGCACCGUAAGUCUCAGUUAACAAAACCAAAUUCAGUAGACAGAA